rnacentral:rRNA from 1 species
UACGGGGGGGGCAAGCGUUGUUCGGAAUUACUGGGCGUAAAGGGCUCGUAGGCGGCCAACUAAGUCAGACGUGAAAUCCCUCGGCUUAACCGGGGAACUGCGUCUGAUACUGGAUGGCUUGAAUCCGGGAGAGGGAAGCGGAAUUCCAGGUGUAGCGGUGAAAUGCGUAGAUAUCUGGAGGAACACCGGUGGCGAAGGCGGCAUCCUGGACCGGCAUUGACGCUGAGGAGCGAAAGCCAGGGGAGCAAACAGG